rnacentral:lncRNA from 1 species
CAGAAGAGAGGAGGAGAGAGAAGAGAGAAGGAGAAAGUUAGGUGAUGAUAAAAUACCUAAAUGGAAUAAAUAAGCAGCGGUAGGAAACUUAUUAUGAGAAAUCUGCCAAAGGAAGAACGUUACUUUAGGGGGGAUUUUCAGUUUCCAAAUCCAACUGUAAGAGGAAAUUAGAGUGGGGGCAGUGAUGAGUGAAGCAUAACAGGAUUUAACAGUGAAAAUUCCAUAGGAAGUACAUCACCAAAAGAUUUGAUCAUAACCUGUUUAUGAGAAUUGCAUAUAUAUAUAUAUAUA